AGCGAACGCUGGCGGCAGGCUUAACACAUGCAAGUCGAGCGGGCAUCCUUGUGGUGUCAGCGGCAGACGGGUGAGUAACGCGUGGGAACGUGCCCUUCGGUUCGGAAUAACUCAGGGAAACUUGAGCUAAUACCGGAUACGUGCGAGAGCAGAAAGGUUUAUCUGCCGAAGGAUCGGCCCGCGUCUGAUUAGCUAGUUGGUGAGGUUACGGCUCACCAAGGCGACGAUCAGUAGCUGGUCUGAGAGGAUGAUCAGCCACACUGGGACUGAGACACGGCCCAGACUCCUACGGGGGGCAGCAGUGGGGAAUAUUGGACAAUGGGGGCAACCCUGAUCCAGCCAUGCCGCGUGAGUGAUGACGGCCUUAGGGUUGUAAAGCUCUUUUCUCCGGGACGAUAAUGACGGUACCGGAGGAAUAAGCCCCGGCUAACUUCGUG
rnacentral:rRNA from 1 species